AUUGGAAUAAAAUUAGGGCUCAAUCAGAAUUUACGCUUUUCAUUCAAUUCACCAAUAGCACGAAUUCUUCCCACCGUCCACCCCAGCUCCGUCGCCGCCGUUCGCCAUUCCAGCUCCGCCGCCGCUCCAUCUCUGUCGCCGCAGUUUGCCGCUCCAGCUCCGUCGCUGCCGUUCGCCGCUCCAGCUUUAGGGUUUAUGCCCGCUGUACUCGAUCCACGCUAACAAAGCUCACUACCUUUGUUUAUCAUUUAUUAUUUGAAUAAUAGUACCAGCGGUCGCUCAUUCACUGAUUUCAUAUUCGCGGAAAAGAAAUGGAAGCAGUGCAUCUACUGCACCAAAUAUUUGUGAGACUUCUUGAUCAUUGUGGCAUAGAAGAAGAGUUUGGGAGAUUAGCUUCUUGAAUCAGGGAAGAAUUGUUUGUGCUUGGUUAACCCAAAUACAAAUAGAAAAGCAAAACCAUUGUAUAAUUGCAUUGGCAUGCUAUUUGAUUCCACCUGUACCGAUCUAAUCAGGUGGAAGAUUCAUUAAGAAAAGAAGUUUUAGAAACAGGUCUCAGUCUUGUUUUAAAUCUUAAAACUUUCUUGGAAGGCUGGUAUAUGUGGGGGUUGUUCAAUGGAGAUAUAAGAUUUUCCAAUUUUCAUAAACUUAGAACCUUAGAAAGUGCAGGUGUCAUAAUUUGUUUUAAAUAAUAGAUAUGGUUUGCUUUAAGUCUAACUGAAGAUGCUAGUUUUAUUUUGGUCCUUAUCACAAUUUCCUACUGACCUUUCUUCUGUGCUUAAUUUGACAAUGAACUUCUGUUUUGUAUGAAUAAUAAUCUCGUUCUGAUACUUAUGCAUUGGCCCCUCCAUUUCCUUUGCAGGUUGUAUCUGCUCUUUCAGUAGAAGCAGCAUCUCUUAAGACAAUGUGAGGCUUUCUAGGUUUCACAUAUAGAAGUGGAUGGAUGUAUACAUACUUUGUUUUUCUGUAGUUAUAUUGAGUUUGAAGGACAGAAAAUCCUAGUUGAUAAGGCGCAGCAUUGCUCAUUUGACCUAGGUGGAAAGAGUGGUGCUUGGUGACAUCUUCUUGAAGAAACAUCUUAUAUGAAGUUAAAAUUAAUGAUGUUAAGGUUGUAUAUUUCUUACACAUGCCCCUAUGCUCAUUGCCCAGAGAACAAGGUGCCAUCACUAGAACACAACAAUGAAGGUAAAGGGGAAAGUCUUGACUUGAUUCGAUAUAUUGAUCAAAACUUCAAAGGCCCUUCGCUUUUUCCUAAUAUAAGUCGUUUGGACGCAACAUAUCCGAUGCUCAUUACAAAGCUUGUUGUAUGCUGGGAUCAACAUCAGUGGUACUAAUUGGGAGGUUAUCCCAGUUUAGUGGGGGUUUCAAGUUGGUCCGAGUGUUGGGAUUAAAGCCGGAGACCACAUCUGGUGCGCAAGAUACCUGCUUGAGGGCUGCAUAAGAUAUAGGAGUAUGAUCGUAGUACAAAUAGAAAUAUAUAAAGAAUUACGCAUCCUAAAGCCGAGUUACCGACACCAUAAACUUGUCUAACGCCAGCACCGCCGAUCCACCCUCCCUCACCGCAGCCC